rnacentral:lncRNA from 1 species
GGACGGUGAAGACAGAGCGAGAGAAAAAGGACUGGGAUGUAUUUCUGGAGAUAGACCAGUGUCCCUCACUCAGUUGCCUCAAGGGAAAGGAGGAAUCCAUGAUGAAUGGUUGGCUCUUGGCUUAAGAAGGUAGAUCAUGACGCGAGCCUCAGAGAUCUGGGUAAGCGGCAAAGGAGACCAGAACCAUGCCUGAGGCACUCGGUGCCUGACUCUGGGGGCAGCCGGUGCAGGGUGCUGGAGAAUGGACCUCUCACCUCUCUGCUCUUCCUUCUGUAUCGGCCACGGCUCAGGAUGAGUGCAGGGAGGGAACCACAGUGAAGCUGUCCCCGGUGGAGCUGAUCAGAGGCCAGAGGAAAACAGCCGGACAUGAAAAACAGGCACAUCGGCCGGAAGGUCCCUGCAGACCCAGUUCCCGACUCUGGCCCUGGAUUCCACAUCCUGUGCCCUGGGUGCACGUGCCUGCCCUGUCACCCCUUCCCACCAGACGGAACCUGGGGACGGUGGGCACUGUCUCAUUCACCCUGGAGUCCCAGCAUAGUGCAGAUGUCACAUCAACACUCAGAAAUCCUCUCUACCCACCCUUCAGGGCUGGAGAACGUGAAAGAUCUGUGUGAGAGAAGCAAGGGAAACAGACUAGGGAGCUGCCAGGGUCAUUCAGAAGCUGUCUGGCUGCACUGGGAUCAGGUUCGCUCUCUUUCAUCUUUCUUCUGUCUCCCUUUCUGAGUACUUUGGAUUCAACCCAGGCUGUUCACAUUGAGCUACAUCUUCAGCACUUAGGGUUAAUUUUGAGAUUCCUUGCUAUGUCGCUAAAUUGCCCAGGCCGGGCUGGAACGUGUGAUCCUCCUGCCUCAGCCUCCCAGAGUAC